rnacentral:tRNA from 1 species
AGUGGUAUAGCUCAGCAGUAGAGUGCUUGUCUACCAUGCACAAGACCCUGAAUUCAAUCCUCAGCACCACAA